CAAGCGCGGUCAUAUACACUACCGUCGUCAGCUACACUCUGCCUGAUGACGUCAUAGCUCUCUAACAAACGCUCUGAUUGGUCAAUUCAGUGGUGGUAGUUAUACAUGCAAGUCAGAGAGGGAUAGAGAAGGGGUGAGAUGAUAGAAAAGUGGAGAAGAAGAGAAAAGUAGGGAAUAUGUGAAACAGUGAGGAUAAGAAAAGAGAGUGAAUAAAAGAAAAAUAACUGAAAGAAAACUAAGUGAGCCACAAGAAGAAUAUGGAUGAAGGCUUGAAGCAAAAAUAUCAGGAAUUACUGAAAGAAGGUAAAAAUUACCGUUGUUCUUGGUUUAAUUUUCAAGACACCUGUCUGGAAAAGGAUUGGGAAGAGGAAACAAGCGAAAACCAAAACUCCUACUAAGUAAUGAGCCAUUAUUGGAAUCUGGAACAGUUUGGCCUGAAAGUAUAAAGAAGAAUUGAAAGAUUAUUUGGUGAGAACCAUGAUAGAGAAAAAUUAUUGCAAAAUAUAAACAUGGUAUUUUUUUCAUCCCCACUCACCCACAAGCAACUCUGUAUGCUGUUAAAGCGAGCCAUUAUCAAAAUAUAGCAGAAAUACCUAACUGCAAUAAAAAAAAAAUAUGCUAUUCCUGUGAAGGAAAUCUUAGUAUCAU